rnacentral:rRNA from 1 species
GAUUCUGGCUCAGAACGAACGCUGGCGGCAUGCCUAACACAUGCAAGUCGAACGCUCCCGGGGGCUUCGGUCCCGGGGGAGUGGCGCACGGGUGGGUAGCGCGUGGGAACCUGCCCUGUUGUGGGGGAUAACCGAGGGAAACUUCGGCUAAUACCGCAUGCGCCCGAGGGUAACUUCGGGGAAAGAUUUAUCGCAGCAGGAGGGGCCCGCGUCGGAUUAGCUAGUUGGUGGGGUAACGGCCCACCAAGGCGAUGAUCCGUAGCUGGUCUGAGAGGAUGAUCAGCCACACUGGGACUGAGACACGGCCCAGACUCCUACGGGAGGCAGCAGUGGGGAAUAUUGGACAAUGGGCGCAAGCCUGAUCCCAGCAAUGCCGCGUGAGUGAUGAAGGCCUUAGGGUUGUAAAGCUCUUUCGCCCGCGACGAUGAUGACGGUAGCGGGAGAAGAAGCCCCGGCUAACUUCGUGCCAGCCGCCGC